GUCGUUUUUUGUUUAAUAUAAGAGUAGUUAUUUUAGGUUUUCACAAUUUGAGUCUCAAGAGAACAGAUGCAAUUAUUUGUGCAUAAAUUAGCAGAUCGGGGCAACUGAAUUUGACUAGGGACAAAUUUCCUUGAGUUUAACUGCAUUGGAAGUACUGAAUUUUCGUGGAACAACUGAUAGAUUGAAUCGCUGCUGUCUUAUUAAUCUUGGGCAGUUUUUAUUGGUGUAUGGUUUCUUUAAGGUUGGGGUGCUUAUCAUCAGACUGGAUACCUACCAUUCAGUUGUGUGUUAUUUGAUGGGUACUAUUUUGUGUUCUCACUAAAAAUGAACCAUAUUUUUGGCGUCAUGGCAUCAUGUUCAUCCGCUGCAUGAUCUGUCACCAUUGUAGAAAAUAGUUUUGUGAAUACUUCAUCUCAUUGGCACUGAUUGAUUCACACUCUUUUUCUGUACAUAUGACAUAGUUUAUCUGCCUAGUGAUAGAUAUAUUUGAUGCAUAUGCACUGACCAGAUGCUCAUAUUUUGCUAGUUAGUUGUCAGAUGCUUGGGUUUAUAUAGUUUCUUUUAAUUGGCUAAUUCUGAAUACCGUGCAUAUGCUCUAUGUUUUUCCGUUCAUUUUGUCUGCUUGAUUACCUUACUUUCUUUUAUUCUUGUGCAAUAUGUCUUAUAUGGGCAUUUUGGUGUAGGUUCCAUUUGACACUGGUCAUAACAGCAGCAGUCUGCUGUUGGAUGAUGUAAGUUUGUGUUCCUUAAUAAUUAGUAUUUUGCAUGUAUACUUUAGAUACAACAUAUUUAUUAUUUUGCAUCCAUAAUCAAAGAGAAAAAAUAUUGAGGUAAGAAAGGUAUGCCAUUGAGAUGUUGUGUCAGUUACUGAAUGAAUGUAUCAAGUGUUAGUUCUGCUCAUGUUUUCUCCAAAGUUCAUUUGGAAGACUGUUGAUUGCUUAUGAGUUGCACACUUAUUAUGUGGUAAGAAAAAGUGACUCUUUUAUUGUGUCUGCUGAAUAGAUGUCUGGUGCUGUACUGCUGUUCAUGAUAUUGAGAAUGAGUUGAGAGGAACUUAUUUUCAUUGUCUAAUCUGUUAUUGGGUUUUUUACAAUUUUGAUUGUAAUGCGUCAUUAUGCCCAUAGCAACAGCCAACUGCCAUCAUAAGCUCCUUGUGUCAUGUUGACAUAAACACUGCUAUCAUUUUCAGUAAUGAAAUGGCUGUCCUUUGGUUUUUCAGUGACAUGACCAAAAAAGUCCUAUUUACCUAACAGUGAGAAUUCAUUAGUUUAUCUUUUUUUAGGAGUAAGUUGAUAGCAUAGAUGAUAAAGCUUUGAAUUGCCUUCCGAACUAUGCCUGAUUUCAUCAGUUAUAUUUACACUUUUUUCUACCCUUUUUGUGGGUUGGACUACAUUUGUGAAUUUAAUUUUGAUGAAUCAUUGUCUGCUUUGGUUGUGAUAUUGAUUUCAACCUAGAACAUGACUGCUUGGAGCAAGCAAUUAUUCUGGAGCACAGCUUUUCUGAUACGGAGAUACAAGUUUAUGCUAUUUUCUUUUGGGUUCAGUAUUAAAUUAAAUUCAUAGCCCUGCAUGUUUUUCCCCCUUAUUCUCAUGGUUCCUAUAUUCCUCCUUGUAUUUGUUAGGUGGGCCAUUGUAUAUCUUGCACAGAUGAAACCACUCAUUGUUCCAAUUCUAAGUGAAGGAGAGUGAAGAUGUUCCUGGAAAAGCAUAACAGGACCUUGUUGGUAAACCAACAAUAUGUCUAGUGCAUUGUUCGCCAGGGAAAUAUCUUAUUAAAGACUAAUGGAUCAUUCAAUAUCUUCUCAUUUUGGGUCUCUCUGUAAUAUUUAUCAGCGUGAACUUUGAAUUGAUUUUGCUUUGGUGGUUCACUUUCCUGCUUGUGAUGGCCUCGCAUUCAAAUUUUAAUUCAUUGAGCGGUGAUUCUAUCUGCCAUUGAGUGUACAAAUAUGUAAUUCGGAUGAAAUAAUUGUUGCAGAAGAGUGUAUUUGAUUUUAUAUUCAGGUCAUUUGGAAAAAAAGAGUCUGAUGCAGUUGAACACUUUCGUGGCUUCAACAAUCUUGUGUGUGUGGCUUAGUGGUGAACUAAGAAAGUGCGACGAGCUUACAAGUGAUUGCAUUUGGACCAUUCUUGCCAAG
rnacentral:misc_RNA from 1 species